GACGAACGCUGGCGGCGUGCUUAACACAUGCAAGUCGAACGGAAAGGCCCCUUUGGGGGUACUCGAGUGGCGAACGGGUGAGUAACACGUGAGUAACCUGCCCUUGACUUCGGGAUAACUUCAGGAAACUGGGGCUAAUACCGGAUAGGAAUCCUUGCUGCAUGGUGGGGGUUGGAAAGCUUCGGCGGUUUUGGAUGGACUCGCGGCUUAUCAGCUUGUUGGUGGGGUAGUGGCUUACCAAGGCUUUGACGGGUAGCCGGCCUGAGAGGGCGACCGGCCACAUUGGGACUGAGAUACGGCCCAGACUCCUACGGGAGGCAGCAGUGGGGAAUAUUGCACAAUGGGCGGAAGCCUGAUGCAGCAACGCCGCGUGCGGGAUGACGGCCUUCGGGUUGUAAACCGCUUUCAGCAGGGGCGAAGCUUGUGGUGACGGUACCUGCAGAAGAAGCACCGGCUAACUACGUG
rnacentral:rRNA from 1 species